GUCAUUUGAAAUUUCAAAUUAUCCUUUAAUUUCUGUUCUUGUUGCUAGAAGAGGAAAAAAAUAAAAUUCAAUCAUGAAGAUCAUAUAUAUGAUGAUGUUCGUAUUUGCUCUUUUGGUUGCAAGUGCAAGCGCAACAAAACCAUCACCGGUAAAACGAGGGGCUGGAAAUGCUCCAGCACAUUGAUUUUCAUAACCUGGAGAUCAUCAUAGAAGAUCUACUAAAAAGUAGUAUGAUGUUAAAUAAAACUGAUAAAUAAUAUGCAAAAAUCAGUCCAAUAAAAAAAAAAAC